rnacentral:rRNA from 1 species
UACGUAGGGUGCAAGCGUUAAUCGGAAUUACUGGGCGUAAAGCGUGCGCAGGCGGCUAUGCAAGACGGAUGUGAAAUCCCCGGGCUCAACCUGGGAACUGCAUUUGUGACUGCAUAGCUAGAGUACGGUAGAGGGGGAUGGAAUUCCGGCGUGUAGCAGUGAAAUGCGUAGAUAUGCGGAGGAACACCGAUGGCGAAGGCAAUCCCCUGGACCUGUACUGACGCUCAUGCACCGAAAGCGUGGGGA